UACGUAGGGGGCAAGCGUUGUUCGGAUUCAUUGGGCGUAAAGGGUGCGUAGGCGGCGCGGUAAGUCGGGUGUGAAAUCUUGGAGCUUAACUCCGAAACUGCAUUCGAUACUGCCGUGCUUGAGGACUGGAGAGGAGACUGGAAUUUACGGUGUAGCGGUGAAAUGCGUAGAUAUCGUAAGGAAGUCCAGUGGCGAAGGCGGGUCUCUGGACAGUUCCUGACGCUGAGGAGCGAAAGCGUGGGGAGCAAACAGG
rnacentral:rRNA from 1 species